UGAGGGUGGAAGGCAGACAGCUGGGGCGGGGACAGAUCCUGCCAGCCCCAGGCACCAAGGGAGCGUCUUCACCCCGGCUGAGAAAUUCAGAAUCCUCUCAAUGAGAGGCUCCACAUUUUCCUUUGAGAAAACAAAUUUUGCAAAGAUUCUUCAGAAUCCUGCGUCUCCCAAAGACUGGAGCUUUGUCUUGCCCAACUGGGUAUGUUCCAAGCCACUCUGUGUACAGACAUGGACGAAUAUGAUAGCAUUUUAUUGGGAGAAAAGACUCUUGUUCAGCUGACCUGCAGGAACAUCUAAUAGGAGGUAAAGGAAGGUGGCUGGCCCACUCUUCCAGAUUUAUAUUCUACUUGUAAUUAAAAAAAAAAAAAUUCAAGCACCAUUCCAGUUAGUCUCACCCCUUCUUUACGAGGUACCAGUAGAAGAUAUCAUGACUUAUUUUGGAGAUAAGGAACCUAAAGUUCAGAGUGGUUACAUGAAUGCCAGAAGAGGCAUCCAACCAGGUCAUAGCAAAGACUGGCCUUAAAAGGUCUUUUGACUUUAUCCUCCCAGAGGUCACAGCUCCAAAAACCUAGAGACCAGGCAAAUGUAAGAGAGCAACAUGGGCCAAAGUAGUGGUGCAAUAGGGAGUGUUGGGGACUAUGGCCAACUGGGGAGCUUGUCCCUAUCUAGAAAGGGAGCUGCUCUUUAGUCCCACAUGAUUGUGGGUAUGUGGGGAAUAUGGGCCCCAUUCUGUUAGAUUCUACAACUUGACCUCAAUUCAUGUUUUACAAGAAAUUAUUCGGCAAUUACUUAGGGAAAAACAAAAACAAAAACAAAAAACUAUGUGCUACCAAACAAGACAAGUUUUUAGAUGGCCUUCUGCCCCCAGGGUGUGAUUACUUGUCCACCCCAUGCCUUGAUAGAGGCUGCAUGGUGGGUGCGUGUGGCCAGGGCCGUGGGAGCAAGUGCUCCCUGCUCCGUUCUUAGCUGCCUGUCCCAUGGGUUCCACAUGUUAGUUCUGCAGAGGCUGGGUUGUGGGGGCAGGGAGUGCUCCCAGCUACAGCGCCUAAUCAGGGAAAGUGAAAAAUGGUGGCCUUUAACCCCAUUAGCCUGGAAGGCAGACAUACAGAGAGGUAUGUGUUCCCAAAGCUACCUCCCUUCUCCAUCCCCACUCCCACCAGCAUCCAGCAUAGGACAGUGUUCACUUCUGUACAGUCAUUUUUGGAGCUGACAGCAAAGUUUCUAUUUUCUUUUGUGAGGGAUGCAGUUGGUAUUUAAUCUCUGCCUUUCUCAGCAGGUCUGCUUUUUGUCACAACACUCCUGCAAAGAUGGGAUGACAGUGAGACCACAUGACCUUAUCUGCAGCUGCCGUCUUGAGGCGCUUUAUGAUUUCUCUUGAGAACAGUCCAGCAUUGUGAGUAGGACCUCUCUUUAUGGUUUCUCUUGAGAAUAGUCCAGCGUUGUGAGUAGGACCUCUCUGUUCCCUGAAUGUCACUCUCUGUGACCCUAUCCAGCUCCUUCCUUGUGAGCCGUGAGAGCCACCGGCUUAUCAGUUCUCGCCACUGGGAAAUGUGCAUUUUCCUCUUGGUGGAGGUGUACUUCACAAGGCCCCCCGGUGUGUUCUCGGCUUCCUCAGACAGCUGGCUGUAUUUGGAAGACCCAGGGUUUCUUCCACGAGGAUUGAUGUGAUCCCUGCAGGUCAAACACAUUGGUGGCAGGCCAGAAAGCACACUGUCCUUCAUUCUCCAAACCUGGGUCCACGCCAAGGAGGAGGACACAGGGCAGGUGAGGCAGGGACCCUCUUGUGGAGUCUUUUUCAACUCUGCUUUGGAGCCUCUCCUAUUUUCAAAAACAAAAGAAAAUGCAAUGGAGAAAGGGAGCAGCCGCUGAACAAUAGCAGGAAAGAGGGUUCAGGAGGAAUGUGGACUUGUCCCAUUUCUGCCUUUUUCAUGGUGAAAAUAUGCCAUGAGGAGAAGAGGACUCACUUUCAAAAUCUCUCUCUCUCUCUCUCUCUCUCUCUCUCUUUCUGUUUAAUUCUACUUAGUCAGCGUCAGUGUACAAGAGGUUAUCAGACUUGUUCUGGAACAGUGCUUGGGAAGUUAUGAGUUGCUGGCAGGAUUUGCAGCCCACAUACUCAGGUAUGCAAGAAAUAAAAUUAUCUCUAGCCCUUCAAAUCAUGCCAUUCUGACUCAGAACCCCUGCCCCCAACAAAAUACAUGUGAAACACCAUCCUGGCAUUACUGGGGUGGGGGUCUCCCCUCACAGCUUCUUGGAGAGCUUGUAGGGGGAAGGGGCAGCUGGGGCAGGGGUGGCUAACCUCUGUCAUUCCUAAGCUCAGCGUUUGGAUCUCCAAACUCCUCACACACAGCUCUCUGAUCCCACACUUUCCUGGGUAACCCCUGCUGGGCUUUGCCAGCCUUUCAACUGAGGCCAGCACUUCCCUUCGCCCUCCUGGCCAGCCUGGGACAGAGUCUCCACUGCUCUUCUCUCAUCUCCCCAGCACUGAAUGCAACAUCUGACCUGCUUAGGCCUUGGGCAAGCAAAAUUAGUUUUGCCAAAUGUCAAAGCAGCAUGUAAUACUGGGACUUCAGUCAAGGCCUUAUGUUACCAUGGAUGAACAGAAGAAAAGAAAAGAAAGGAUAGAUGGGAGGAAGACAGCUCUGUCAACGGCAACCACGCUUGCAUAUGGUCAUGUCCUGCUGCCCAAGGACCCCCAGUCUCCAAAUCCCAAGGGAACGACUCUGCUUGGGUCAACUGUCCUCCUUGACACUCCCAUUGGUAACUGCUCUCCGCCCUUUGGCACAACAGUAAAGCAGGUACUUGGAACAUUGCAGGAUCAGCAACGGAAGUAAGAUGCAAGUCUCCUGUUGAAGUCCCAUCUCCCAAAAAAUGUAUAUAAAGAAAAGAAGAAAGCUAGAAGACAGGCAGCCAUGAAGGUAUUUACCAUUUUUGCAUGUGACCCAAAGGUGAUGACAACUCUGUCCUCCUCAGAGGGACACAGGUAUGGUCUAGGCUGUGGAUGGUAGCAGGCUGGUGCCAUGGUCAUGAUGGGGUUUGGGAGAGACACUGGCCCAGACUGACCAAGAAGUCAUAGAGAGAUGAUUUCUGGAGGUCCAGGAAAAGUUGUCCUCAUUCUUAAGGAGUCACAUGAAGGCAUGGUCCCUUUGUGUUUCUGGACACUGGAUGUUAAAGGUCUGGGUUUAAUAUCCAGAAUUCUGGGAGCCAACUUGCAACAACAAGGGAAACCAACUGGGGACAAUUCCAGCCCACAGAACAUGGCAGAGCAGAGGCAGGAAAGAACAUGUGUCCUUGACACCAUUGCUAGCUGUUGAGUCAACCAGCCUGGAUCCCUGUUAGACCUCAGCUCACUCUUAUUUGAUGUAAGAAACUCUUACGUUGUCUGUGCCUGUAAGACAAGUCUUCUCUUGCCUAUAGUGUAGCCAUCCUAGUUGAUACAAAUGAAAUUUGAAAAGCAGAGAUUUCAUGGAAAAGUCUGUUCCUGUCCAUUUUCAUUGGACACCUUUAAAUUCAUUCUGUAUUAAAUCAUUUUUUAAUACGAUUGUCUGUUUUG